UGCAAGUCGAACGCGAAAGUCCCCUUCGGGGGAUGAGUAGAGUGGCGCACGGGUGAGUAACACGUAGGUAAUCUACCUUCGGGUGGGGAAUAACCCAGGGAAACUUGGGCUAACACCGCAUAAUGCAGCGGCACCACAUGGUGACAGUUGUUAAAGCGGGGGAUUUUAGGACCUCGCGCCUGAAGAGGAGCCUGCGGCAGAUUAGCUAGUUGGUAAGGUAACGGCUUACCAAGGCGACGAUCUGUAACCGGCCUGAGAGGGCGGUCGGUCACACUGACACUGACAUACGGGUCAGACUCCUACGGGAGGCAGCAGUCGGGAAUUUUGGGCAAUGGGCGAAAGCCUGACCCAGCAACGCCGCGUGAAGGAUGAAAUCCCUCGGGAUGUAAACUUCGCAAGAUUGGGAAGAAUUAGUAGGGGUUAAUACCCCCUAUGAUGACGGUACCUUUUGUAAGCUCCGGCUAACUCCGUGCCAGCAGCCGCGGUAAUACGGGGGGAGCAAGCGUUGUUCGGAUUUACUGGGCGUAAAGGGCGCGUAGGCGGUCAGCACAAGUCAGUUGUGAAAUCUCCGGGCUUAACUCGGAAAGGUCAACUGAUACUGUGCGACUAGAGUGCAGAAGGGGCAACUGGAAUUCUCGGUGUAGCGGUGAAAUGCGUAGAUAUCGAGAGGAACACCUGCGGCGAAGGCGGGUUGCUGGGCUGACACUGACGCUGAGGCGCGAAAGCCAGGGGAGCGAACGGGAUUAGAUACCCCGGUAGUCCUGGCCUUAAACGAUGGAUGCUUG
rnacentral:rRNA from 1 species